GUCGAGUUUGGUAAUGCAGGCUUGUAAUCUAAGUGGAGACAGACAAUAAGGUCAUGGGACAUUGGGCUGAUCUCUUUGGGCUGGGUUCGGUAUUGCUCUUUACUGGCCUUCCCAUUCCAAGUCAGUUGAGUGUCCGGACUCGAGCGAAGGCCGGUUCAGACUCUCUUAGAGCGGAGACUGUGUGAGGCUCGUUUCACAGAGCAGCGUCCUUCUUCCGCUUUUGACGGUUGAAGGAUUACGGGCUCAGGCUGUUGCCUCCCGAACCCACUAUGACCCAAUAAGUCGGCUCCAACUGGACAA
rnacentral:SRP_RNA from 2 species